AUUUACAAAACUUGGACCCUAAACUGAUUAAUCUUUCAGGACCUGUCUAGGUUUGAAGUUCUGUGUGAAGAGAAACACGCACCUGGGAGUCAAUGCUCCAAGGUAUGUAGGUGCUUGCAGGAUAGCACUUGGGAAGGACAUGUAAUUCUAUGAUUCCAACUGAUCUUGAAGUUGAUUUACUGUAGGAAUAUGUAACUACUCGAUGCCAGGCCUCCUUCAAAGACCAGAAUUGAAGUUUAACUGCACAAGGUUUCAAUUUCUCAUUCCCUACCGAGAGAUGGAGAGAAUACAUUGAUACUGCAUUUCAAAUUGGCUAGAUCAGAAGGAACAGCAGCUAAAAUCCAUUACAACCCAAUUACAUCCAUCAGCUGAAGCUGUGUGCAUUCACUCGUGAACAUCAGCAUUUAAUCCAUAAAGAGGAACUAAUGAGAAAUUUGAAAAUGGAAUCCACGCAUCAGUAAGUUUG
rnacentral:lncRNA from 1 species